AGUUCGAUCAGAUUGAACGCUGGCGGAUGCUUUACACAUGCAAGUCGAACGGCAGCACGGACUUCGGUCUGGUGGCGAGUGGCGAACGGGUGAGUAAUGUAUCGGAACGCCCAGUAGCGGGGAUAACUACGCGAAAGCGCGUAGCCAGUAUACACCCUUCGGGGGAAAGCGGGGACCUUCGGGCCUCGCACUAUUAGAGCGGCCGAUAUCGGAUUAGCUAGUUGGUGGGGUAACGGCUCACCAAGGCGACGAUCCGUAGCUGGUUUGAGAGGACGACCGCCACACUGGGACUGAGACACGGCCCAGACUCCUACGGGAGGCAGCGGGGAAUUUUGGACAAUGGGGGAAACCCUGAUCCAGCCAUCCGUGUGCGAUGAAGGCCUCGGGUUGUAAAGCACUUUUGGCAGGAAAGAAACGGCACGGGAUAAUACCCGUGCAACUGACGGUACCUGCAGAAUAAGCACCGGCUAACCAUGCGCCACAGCAGGCAGUGGGUGCAAGCGUUAAUCGGAAUUACUGGGCGUAAAGCGUGCGCAGGCGGUUCGGAAAAAGAAAGAUGUGAAAUCCCAGAGCUUAACUUUGGAACUGCAUUUUUAACUACCGAGUCAUAGAGUGUGUCAGAGGAGGUGGGAAUUCGCGUGUAGCAGUGAAAUGCGUAGAUAUGCGGAGGAACACCGAUGGCGAAGGCAGCCUCCUGGGAUAACACUGACGCUCAUGCACGAAAGCGUGGGGAGCAAACAGGAUUAGAUACCCCUGGUAGUCCACGCCUCUAACGAUGUCAACUAGCUGUUGGGGCCUUCGGUCGGUAGCGCAGCUAACGCAGUGUUGACCGCCUUGGGGAGUACGGUCGCAAGAUUAAAAACUCAAAGGAAUUGACGGGGACCCGCACAAGCGGUGGAGCAUGGGAUUAAUUCGAUGCAACGCGAAAAACCUUACCUACCUUUGACAUGUUGGGAAUCCCGAAGAGAUUUGGGAGUGCUCGUAAGAGAAACUGAACACAGGUGCCGCAUAGCUGUCGCCAGCUUCCGCCGAGAUGCUGGGUUAAGUCCCGCAACGAGCGCAAACCCUUGUCAUUAGUUGCUACGAAAGGGCACUCUAAUGAGAUCAAGCGGUGACAAACCGAGGAAGGUGGGGAUGACGUCCUCAUGGCCCUGAGGGUAGGGCUUCACACGUCAGGCACGGCCGGGACAGAGGGUCGCCAACCCGCGAGGGGGAGCGCCAAUCCCCAGAACCCCGAUCGUAGUCCGGAUCGGAAGUCUGCAACUCGACUGCGCGAAGUCGGAAUCGCUGGGUGACUGCGGAUCAGCAUGUCGCGGUGAAUAUGUUCCCGGGUCUUGUACACACCGCCCGUCAAGCACCAUGGAGUGGGUUUUACCAGUGAAGGCCUUAACCGUAAGGAGGAAGUGAUUACCACGGUAGGAGCCCAGCGACUGGGGUGAAGCCGUAAAUAAGGUAA
rnacentral:rRNA from 1 species